rnacentral:rRNA from 1 species
UACGUAGGUGACCAGCGUUGUCCGGAUUUACUGGGCGUAAAGAGCGCGCAGGCGGUCGUUCAAGUCGAGUGUGAAAGCCCCCGGCUCAACUGGGGAGGGUCACUCGAUACUGAUCGACUUGAAGGCAGGAGAGGGAAGCGGAAUUCCCGGUGUAGGGGUGAAAGUUCGUUGAUAUCAGGAGGAACACCGGCGGCGAAGGCGGCCCCCUG